rnacentral:rRNA from 1 species
UAGGGAAUAUUAGUAAUGGGCGAAAGCCUGAACUAGCAACGCCGCGUGUGCGAAGAAGGCCUUCGGGUUGUAAAGCACUUUUUGAGAGGAUGAGGAAGGACGGUACUCUCAGAAUAAGUCUCGGCUAACUACGUGCCAGCAGCCGCGGUAACACGUAGGAGGCAAACGUUAUCCGGAUUUACUGGGCGUAAAGCGCGUGUAGGUGGUUUGGUAAGUAGGGCGUGAAAGCUCCUGGCUCAACUGGGAGAGGCCGCUCUAAACUGCCGAACUAGAGGAUGGUAGAGGGAGGUGGAAUUCCGGGUGUAGCGGUGGAAUGCGCAGAUAUCCGGAGGAACACCAGUGGCGAAAGCGGCCUCCUGGACCAUUCCUGACACUCAGACGCGAAAGCUAGGGUAGCAAACGGG